AGGAUUAACGCUGGCGGCGUGCCUAACGACAUGCAAGUCGAACGAGGUAGCAAUACCUAGUGGCAGACGGGUGAGUAACGCGUGGUCAACCUACCGUUGAGUGGGGGAUAACUAGCCGAAAGGUUAGCUAAUACCGCAUACGUCUCCGAGGGGCAUCCCUUGGCGAUAAAAGGAGCAAUCCGCUCGAUGACGGGACCGCGUCCCAUUAGCUAGAUGGUGGGGUAACGGCCUACCAUGGCACCGAUGGGUAGCUGGUUUGAGAGAGCGACCAGCCACACUGGGACUGAGAAACGGCCCAGACUCCUACGGGAGGCAGCAGUGAGGAAUUUUCCGCAAUGGGCGCAAGCCUGACGGAGCGACGCCGCGUGUGGGAAGAAGGCCUUCGGGUCGUAAACCACUGUCGAAGGGGACGAUAAUGACGGUACCCUUGGAGGAAGCCCCGGCUAACUACGCGCCAGCAGCCGC
rnacentral:rRNA from 1 species